rnacentral:rRNA from 1 species
AUUGAACGCUGGCGGCAUGCUUUACACAUGCAAGUCGGACGAGUGGCGAACGGGUGAGUAACGCAUCGGAACGUACCUGGUAAUGGGGGAUAACUGUCCGAAAGGACAGCUAAUACCGCAUAUUAUUCGAGCGGCCGAUGUCUGAUUAGCUGGUUGGCGGGGUAAAGGCCCACCAAGGCGAAGAUCAGUAGCGGGUCUGAGAGGAUGAACGUGCACACUGGGACUGAGACACGGCCCAGACUCCUACGUGAUGAAGCAGUGGGGAAGAUUGGACAAUGGGCGCAAGCCUGAUCCAGCCAUGCCGCGUGUCUGAAGAAGGCCUUCGGGUUGUAAAGGACUUUUGUCAGGGAAGCGGUACCUGAAGAAGAAGCACCGGCUAACUCCGUGCCAGCAGCCGCGGUAAUAC